rnacentral:rRNA from 1 species
UACGUAGGGAGCAAGCGUUGUCCGGAAUCAUUGGGCGUAAAGCGCGCGUAGGUGGCUUCAUAAGUCCGCUGUGAAAGUCAAAGGCUCAACCUUUGAAAGCCGAUGGAUACUGUGAAGCUAGAGUACGGAAGAGGCGAGUGGAAUUCCUGGUGUAGCGGUGGAAUGCGCAGAUAUCAGGAGGAACACCAAUAGCGAAGGCAGCUCGCUGGGACGUUACUGACACUGAGGCGCGAAAGCGUGGGGAGCGAACAGG